UAAUUAUAUAUGUUCAACUAGUUCCUCUACUAGCUUAACAUAACCUUAUACAUAUUACAUUUGAAUCAAUACAUUUGAUGAAUCAAAACAACAAACAGAAAAAAAGAUUGCAUGUAUUGCUAUCCAUAGUGAAUGCAUUUUCUCAAUAUGAACAAGAAAUGUAACAACCCAAAAGUUAGCGGUGUUAGAAAAAUACAAUUUUGGGACUCCGUUUCACAAAUUGAGCCCG
rnacentral:lncRNA from 1 species